rnacentral:lncRNA from 1 species
CGAGGUUUUUGUGUGUGUUUUUUUUUUUUUUUGAAUCUUAUUCAUCCCAAUGAGCUAACGGUAAAAGAAUAUCUUUUGAAAUGAACUUUUAAGAGGGUCUUUUAAUGAACUUUUAAAUUAUAUGUAAACUCCUUAACCCAAUAUAUAAGUUUCUUCCCAAAUAUAGUUCUUCAGCAUAGACCCACUUUGGUUCUUCAGUGACCAACCAUAUCCCCAUGUCUGUUCCUACCACUGCUCAUAGAGGUAUAAACACCUAAGUAUGUUUUACCUCUUGUAAGACGAACAGAAUUUUACCAGAAAUAAUAAGCAGCAAUUUACCCUAAAAAUGGGUCAAUACUUCAGAAAAAUAAACUCAUUUCAACAUUUUGAUUAAAUUUUUAGGUAGAAUUUAUAUUAUUUUCAAAUGCAGUCUUUCAAAACACAUUAAAUGGCUGAAAACCUUGAAGAAUUUGAUGGAUUUUGAAAGGAAACGAUUCAGUCUAUAUACAUGUAUGACAUUUCAUUUCUUAGGUUUUAAAAUUAAUUAUGCUAUAGUCUUGCACACUUCUAUUCUCACCUGAUUCCCAAUUAAGUAAACAGAAAUACAUAUGCAAGUUAAUAAACUUUUUCUCUUGCAUAAAGAAUUUUACAACUACAGGAAAAUAAUGCCUAAUGUUUAGCCCUUGGGUCUAAUAUGCAUGCCUUUAGAAAAUCAAGUAAAAUAAAAUAUAUCUUAUUAAUAGAAUAUUUUAAAUUAGCCAUUCUAAUUAAUCAGCCAUAAAGUUAAAUCGUUUAGUCAAAUAUCAUAGUGAAGCCAUGACAAAACAAUUAAGUGACCAUAGCAUUAAAGAAGAUGCUAUGAAAACUGUGACUUUGAUUAAAUAGUAAAGAAAUAUGUAAUAAAUUUAUAUAUAUAGCUAAGAUAAAAAAUGAGAAUUAUCUUUACUUUGUUCACAAAAUUGUAUUUGUUGGCUAGGUUUAGUAGUCUCUAUUAUGACUCACC